GACGAACGCUGGCGGCGUGCCUAAUACAUGCAAGUCGAGCGCAGGAAACUGACGGAACUCUUCGGAGGGAAGGCAGUGGAAUGAGCGGCGGACGGGUGAGUAACACGUAAGGAACCUGCCUCAAGGAUUGGGAUAACUCCGAGAAAUCGGAGCUAAUACCGGAUAGUUCAUCGGACCGCAUGGUCCGUUGAUGAAAGGCGCUUCGGCGUCACCUUGAGAUGGCCUUGCGGUGCAUUAGCUAGUUGGUGGGGUAACGGCCCACCAAGGCGACGAUGAAGAGCCGACCUGAGAGGGUGAUCGGCCACACUGGGACUGAGACACGGCCCAGACUCCUACGGGAGGCAGCAGUAGGGAAUCUUCCACAAUGGACGAAAGUCUGAUGGAGCAACGCCGCGUGAGUGAUGAAGGUUUUCGGAUCGUAAAACUCUGUUGUAAGGGAAGAACACGUACGAGAGGGAAUGCUCGUACCUUGACGGUACCUUACGAGAAAGCCACGGCUAACUACGUGCCAGCCGCCGCCGUAACAC
rnacentral:rRNA from 1 species